UACGUAGGGGGCAAGCGUUGUCCGGAUUUAUUGGGCGUAAAGAGCGUGUAGGCGGCCAGGUAGGUCCGCUGUGAAAACUCGAGGCUUAACCUCGAGAUGUCGGUGGAAACCAUCUGGCUAGAGUCCGGAAGAGGAGAGUGGAAUUCCUGGUGUAGCGGUGAAAUGCGCAGAUAUCGGGAGGAACACCAGUGGCGAAGGCGGUUGCCUGGGGCUUUGCUGACGCUGAUGCGCGAAAGCGUGGGGAGCGAUCCGG
rnacentral:rRNA from 1 species